GCUGGAGUACACAACUAAUAGUUGUCCUGGGACAGAUUCUCCCACCUGAGCUGUGAAUCUCUGCAGCUCCUCCGGAGUGACCAUGGGCUUCUUGUCUGCUUCUCUAAUUAGUGCUCUCCUUGCCUGGUCUGUCAG